UUUAAAACAUGGUCUUUUGUUUAUAUAAAAGAUCUGGCCUGCCCAAUGAUGAUUUUAAUGGCUGCAGUAUUUUGACUGUACAAAGGUAGCAUAAUCAUUUGUCUUUUAAUUGAAGUCUGGAAUGAAUGGUUGGAUGAAAGGUUUACUUUCUUUAUUUUAAAUAUAAAAUUUAAUUUUUAAAUCAGAAAGUUUAAAUAUUUAUAUAGGACGAGAAGACCCUAUAGAACUUUAUUUAUAGGAUAUAUUUACUAAUUUGUAAAUUAUAAGUAUAUAUUUCUGUAUAAAUUUUAUUGGGGUGAUAAAAAAAAAUUUUUAACUUUUUUUAUUUUAAUCAUUUAUGUAUGUAUUUUUGAUCCUUUAUUAUGGAUUAAAAGAAUAAGUUACCUUAGGGAUAACAGCGUUAUUACUUUAGAGAGUUCAUAUUGAUAGAGUAGUUUGCGACCUCGAUGUUGGAUUAAAAUUAGCUUCAGGGGCAGAAUAUUGAUGGCUAAGUCUGUUCGACUUUUAAAUUUUUACAUGAUCUGAUAA
rnacentral:rRNA from 1 species